AAAUCAGAUGAUGAGUUUGGAUUAAAGUUUCUCACGACGGUCGUCUGAGACACGUUAAGUGUCGUUGCUGAUGCAAUGAUCCAAUGCUUCUGAUGGUU